rnacentral:rRNA from 1 species
UACGGAGGGUGCAAGCGUUGCUCGGAAUUACUGGGCGUAAAGCGCACGUAGGCGGCUCUUUAAGUCGGGGGUGAAAUCCUGGAGCUCAACUCCAGAACUGCCUUCGAUACUGUAGAGCUUGAGUUCGGGAGAGGUGAGUGGAACUGCGAGUGUAGAGGUGAAAUUCGUAGAUAUUCGCAAGAACACCAGUGGCGAAGGCGGCUCACUGGCCCGAUACUGACGCUGAGGUGCGAAAGCGUGGGGAGCAAACAGG